UAGGUGGCAAGCGUUGUCCGGAUUUACCGGGUGUAAAGGGCGUGUAGGCGGGUAUACAAGUCAGAUGUGAAAUACCGGGGCUCAACUCCGGGGCUGCAUUUGAAACUGUAUGUCUUGAGUGCCGGAGAGGAAAGCGGAAUUCCUAGUGUAGCGGUGAAAUGCGUAGAUAUUAGGAGGAACACCAGUGGCGAAGGCGGCUUUCUGGACGGUAACUGACGCUGAGGCGCGAAAGCGUGGGGAGCAAA
rnacentral:rRNA from 1 species